rnacentral:rRNA from 1 species
CCUACGGGGGGCAGCAGUGGGGAAUAUUGCACAAUGGGGGAAACCCUGAUGCAGCGACGCCGCGUGAGUGAAGAAGCGCCUCGGCGCGUAAAGCUCUGUCAGCAGGAACGACGAUGACGGUACCUGAAGAAGAAGCCCCGGCUAACUACGUGCCAGCAGCCGCGGUAAUACGGAGGAUUCAAGCGUUAUCCGGAUUUAUUGGGUUUAAAGGGUGCGUAGGCGGUUCGAUAAGUUAGAGGUGAAAUCCCGGGGCUCAACUCCGGCACUGCCUCUGAUACUGUCGGGCUAGAGUUUAGUUGCGGUAGGCGGAAUGUAUGGUGUAGCGGUGAAAUGCAUAGAGAUCAUACAGAACACCGAUUGCGAAGGCAGCUUACCAAACUACGACUGACGUUGAGGCACGAAAGCGUGGGGAGCAAACAGGAUUAGAUACCCGUGUAGUC